UACGUAGGCAGCGAGCGUUGUUCGGAGUUACUGGGCGUAAAGAGUGCGUAGGCGGUUUUCUAAGUUUGGUGUGAAAUCUCCCGGCUUAACUGGGAGGGUGCGCCGAAGACUGGAAGGCUUGAGUAUGGGAGAGGUAAGCGGAAUUCCUGGUGUAGCGGUGAAAUGCGUAGAUAUCAGGAGGAACACCGGUGGCGAAGGCGGCUUCCUGGACCGACACUGACGCUGAGGCGCGAAAGCCAGGGGAGCAAACGGG
rnacentral:rRNA from 1 species